rnacentral:lncRNA from 1 species
CACAGUUGAACUGCCAUUUUCCAAGUAUAUAAAACACUCGUUUCUAUUGGUUGAUUGAUUGCUUUGCAUCUUGCCGCACUGUAUUGUUCAUGUGUGUCGAUUGGUCAAAGUUUAAUUUUUUUAUCUCGUUUCGUGUGGCUAUGCGUGUUAACUCGAGCAGCUGCAUGGGAAAAGUUCACUAUACAUUAUAUGCACAUAACCACAUGAAGUUGCUUUCUUAUACUUUGCAUCAUGUCGUGCUCAGUGUAUCUACCUAUUGGGCCUUUAUUCUAGCUAUUGGGCCAAUUGUUUAAAAGGAGUUGUCCAUGGUUUAUAGCAAAAACUGUAUCUAGAAAGUGUUCAGAUA